rnacentral:sRNA from 1 species
UCAAGGUUGUUCUGUAUUUGUGCGAUGC